rnacentral:rRNA from 1 species
AACGAACGCUGGCGGCAUGCCUAACACAUGCAAGUCGAACGAGACCUUCGGGUCUAGUGGCGCACGGGUGCGUAACGCGUGGGAACCUGCCCUUAGGUUCGGAAUAACUCCCUGAAAGGGGUGCUAAUACCGGAUAAUGUCUUCGGACCAAAGAUUUAUCGCCCUUGGAUGGGCCCGCGUUGGAUUAGCUAGUUGGUAGGGUAAAAGCCUACCAAGGCGACGAUCCAUAGCUGGUCUGAGAGGAUGAUCAGCCACACUGGGACUGAGACACGGCCCAGACUCCUACGGGAGGCAGCAGUGGGGAAUAUUGGAAAAUGGGCGAAAGGCUGAUCCAGCAAUGGCGGGUGAGUGAUGAAGGCCUUAGGGUUGUAAAGCUCUUUUACCCGGGAUGAUUAUGACAGUACCGGGAGAAUAAGCUCCGGCUAACUCCGUG